CACACAGGAAAAUGUUUUAACCAUGUGCUCAAUGUGAAGGCUCGGGGAAGAAGAGACUCAGCCCCCAUGAGCCUGUGCACAGUUUGUGAGCAUGCGGGGAGAGGAAGCCUGUCAGCACGGAAAGGUGCUGGAUGCAUCUUGUAAUUAUGUGAGCCCUGAAAGAGGGCAAGAACACAAAGCAGCUGGUGUGAGUUAUUCUAACAGAACAACAAUGCGGAAGUUGGCUGGGGUGGGGGCAGGGGAAAGCUUUCUGUGCAUCUAAUUUCGUGAUUCAUAAUUAAAACUGGACCUCGUUUUGAGAUUCACAACAUACACAAUACAGGUAAAAUUAUGUUGCUCUCACUGAAAGCCCCAAUUAAGAUGUUUCAGCAGAAAAACGCUUAGCAGAAUUGAGGAGUUUUGAUUUUUCAAAAUAUGCAUUUGCUGGGGGUGACAGCCAUUUACAGAGGCCCUGCCUCUCAGCAAACAGCUAUGCAAAGGAAGGGACGCCCCACCCCCUUCUCCUAUGUGAUUUCUUUUCCCUAAAACAACAUAGACCACAUAGCAUAUUUAAAAUUUGUGACACGUUCAAACUACCAAUUAGGCUGUUUUCAGAAUGAGAAACAAGAUUGAAAGAAAAAAAAUUAUGGGCAGCAUUUCAGGAAGGAGAACUGUCCACUUUUGUGAUAGGUCUUAAUUGUCAUUUAAAAAAUAAUCUAACCCCAUCAAACUUGCUCAGACACCAGGCAGAAGGUCAGAAAGCGAAGGAUGUGAGCAGGGCCGUCCUGGAGAGGACAGUGCAGAAGCUCUUUGCACCCAGCAAUGUGAGCGGCAGGAAGUCUGCCCUGGUUUGCUUUAGUCUUUGAAUAGAAGUGAGGCAAACAUUUAGCUAGAUAGACAGAGGUUUUACCACAUCUGAGUUUUCAGGCAGGGCAACUGUGGUUGGAGUUUGUGUGAUGCGUUUCUGUGAGAGGGACUCUUUAUUUCAGUAGGGGAAUCUGACAGCUGGCCUGCCGUGGUGGGCGACUAAGAUCGUGUCCACUCCACUGUGACAACCUGAGUGGGGCUCCUAGCAUCCUCAUCAGUGGCCCGCAAUGGUCCAUCAUUCCAACUCCUGGGGACCUGACACCUUCUUCUGGCCUCUGAGGAAACCUUCCCUUGUGCCCAGAUGUCAUCUCUGCUUACCUGGAUACCCACACUACAUAUUAAAUGGGGCUACAUUCUUAUUUUAUAUAGAAGAAAUGGAGGCCCGGGAAGAUCAGUGUUCUCGGCCAGUUUCAGGAGGAAACAGCUGUAAGUCUAAGUUCUACCAUUUGCUAGCCUAGAAUGUUUAGAUAAAUUACUCAGUGUUGGAGAGGAGCAGACUUGUCUUUCGAAAUAUUGAGUUUAAUAUCUGAUUACAGGUAUAAGUGGCGUCCAUUAUUAGAAUACAGUGAAGAGUUCAGGAAUGAGUUUAAGACUACAGAUGAACCCAGAGAUGGAGUGGAAGUCCACUGAGUUAGCAAAAUGUCUGUAAAGACCACUGUCUCGUCAGUAAACAGAAAACGACUUUCACAAGUGCCAGUGUAAGGAACACGUUCCAGAAUUACAAGGGAAAAAGCCCAGAAGGGCAGUCUUCCUGAAACUGUGGCGAGCUCUGAAGUUUCAUCAUUAAUGGAUAUGGGAAAUAGAAUCUUGGUGUUUAGAAAAUGCAUGGAAGCCAUCUUUGGUCAAAUCAUCUUCUAAAACAGACCUCUCAGGAAGUGCUUCCUACAUCUCCUGGUAUUGCUGCUCAUGUGGUCCAAGCAAGUAGCAAUGUGCAGUCAUCUCCAUCUCACUGGUACAUGCAUUCCUCCAAGGUGUCUGUCUCUCCAUAUUCCUCUCCCUGUGGUGCUCCUAUGGUCCUCCAAGGUGCUCAACCUCACUGUCCCUCUGCCCUCUCUGUGCUUGUCCCCUCAUGUCCAUCAAAUCUCCAUGUACUCAUCUCUCUGCACCAUUCAUUUGCCUGUGUUGGUCAUCCACCUACAUCACUGCCACUCCUCCAUGUUCCUCACUCCUCCUUAUAGUCAACCCAGGGAACGGUAUCCAUGGUCAUAGCUUCCUUCCCUACUUUCACAUGUACACUGACAGAUGAUGAACAGCAAUUAUGUAACCAGAUAUUACCUACUGCCCUCAGUAAACCAGACAGCAAUGCUGGCCCAUGUUUCCAGUGAGGGACAGCAAAAUACAGAAAUGACUAUAUUCAGACCUACUUUAGUUAGGCAAAAGAACACAUUGUUACAUGUGUUUGCUCCAACACUCAGAAGCCAGAUGGGUGUCUCUGAAUACCUAGGAACAGAAAGAAAUAAUGUGACCUGCUUUUCUUGUUGCCACGACAAAGUACCAGAUGCAGCAACUUAAGAAGCAACCUGAGGGUAAAUACUGCCCAUCAUGCUUGGGAAGACAUGGUUGGUAGCUAGUUACAUUGUAUACACAGUUAGGAAGUAAAGAUGAGUGAAAGCCUGUGCCCUGCUCUCUUUCUCCUUUUAUUCUGGC
rnacentral:sRNA from 1 species